rnacentral:tRNA from 1 species
AAAGGUAUACUAUAAAUUAAUAUACUUCAGAAAAAAGAGUAAUAUAGUAAGGGUAAUAAAAAUACCCUUAAUAUAAAAG